rnacentral:rRNA from 1 species
AUUGAACGCUGGCGGCAGGCCUAACACAUGCAAGUCGAGCGGAUAAAGGGAGCUUGUUCCUGGUUUCAGCGGCGGACGGGUGAGUAAUGCCUAGGAAUCUGCCUCGUAGUGGUGGAUAACGACCGCAAACGGGCGCUGAUACUGCAUACGUCCUGCGGGAGAAAGUGGGGGAUCUUCGGACCCUACGCUCUCAGAUGAGCCUAGGUCGGAUUAGCUAGUUGGUGGGGUAAAGGCCUACCAAGCCGACGAUCCGUAACUGGUCUGAGAGGAUGAUCAGUCACACUGGAACUGAGACACGGUCCAGACUCCUACGGGAGGCAGCAGUGGGGAAUAUUGGACAAUGGGCGAAAGCCUGAUGCAGCCAUGCCGCGUGUGUGAAGAAGGCCUUCGGAUUGUAAAGCACUUUAAGGUGGGAGGAAGGGCAGUAAGUUAAUACCUUGCUGUAUUGACGUUACCAGCAGAAGAAGCACCGGCUAACUUCGUG